GCACCUAUCGUCUAGCUGGCCUAGGACACCGCCCUUUCAAGGCGGGUACACGGGUUCGAAUCCCGUUGGGUGUGCCA
rnacentral:tRNA from 1 species